AUGGCAUCUGGCCCGGCCUGCGCUCGCUGCUGCUGCCGGCGGUUGCGCUCGCGGUGGUGCAGGCGGCGAUCCUGGCGCGGGUGACGCGC
rnacentral:tRNA from 2 species